UACAGAGGGUGCAAGCGUUGCUCGGAAUUAUUGGGCGUAAAGAGCUCGUAGGCGGUUUGUCGCGUCUGCUGUGAAAGCCCGGGGCUCAACCCCGGGUCUGCAGUGGGUACGGGCAGACUAGAGUGCAGUAGGGGAGACUGGAAUUCCUGGUGUAGCGGUGAAAUGCGCAGAUAUCAGGAGGAACACCGAUGGCGAAGGCAGGUCUCUGGGCUGUUACUGACGCUGAGGAGCGAAAGCAUGGGGAGCAAACAGG
rnacentral:rRNA from 1 species